GUGAGAUAAGUCUCACGGUCAAAAGGGAAACAGCCCAGACCAACAGCUAAGGUCCCAAAGUACAGGUUAAGUGGAGAAGGAUGUGCCAUUGCGCAGACAACCAGGAUGUUGGCUUAGAAGCAGCCACACAUUAAAAGAGUGCGUAAUAGCUCACUGGUCGAGUGGUGGUGCGCCGAAGAUGGACGGGGCUCAAACCUGACACCGAAGCUUUGGAUUUAUGGAGACAUAAGUGGUAGAGGAGCGAUGUAUGCGGGAGGAAGGAUGACCGGAAGGACAUUUGGACUGCAUAGAAGAGAGAAUGCCGGUAUAAGUAGCGAGAGUGAGGUGAGAAUCCUCACCGUCGAAAGCCAAAGGAUUCCUGAGGAAGGUUCGUCCCCUCAGGGUAAGUCGGGACCUAAGCCGAGGGCGGUAGAGCCGUAGGCGAUGGACAACUGGUAGAUAUUCCAGUACCGUCUUAGAUACGCCUGGAGGAAGCAGUGACACAGAAGGAUAGUCAGAGCGCGUUGAUGGUAGAGCGCGUCCAAGCAGAGAGGCUGGUAUAUAGUAAAGAACGUAUACUAAGGCUGGUCUGUGACGGGGAGUGAACUAAGUAACGAAGCUGAUGAAUUCACGCUGGCGAGAAAAGCUGCUAACGAGUAUGUAAGAUGCCCGUACCGCAAACCGACACAGGUAGGCGAGGAGAGAAUCCUAAGACGAACGAGAGAACCCUUGUUAAGGAACUCGGCAAAAUGACCUCGUAACUUCGGGAGAAGGGGUGCCUGCUGAGAGGCAGGCCGCAGAGAAGAGGCCCAAGCGACUGUUUAACAAAAACACAGGUCUGUGCGAAAUCGAGAGAUGACGUAUACGGGCUGACGCCUGCCCGGUGCUGGAAGGUUAAGGGGAAGAGUUAGGUGAGAGCCGAAGCUUAGAACCGAAGCCCCAGUAAACGGCGGCCGUAACUAUAACGGUCCUAAGGUAGCGAAAUUCCUUGUCGGGUAAGUUCCGACCUGCACGAAUGGCGUAACGACUUGGGCGCUGUCUCAACAGGGGACUCGGCGAAAUUGUAGUAUGUGUGAAGAUGCACAUUACCCGCGACUGGACGGAAAGACCCCGUAGAGCUUUACUGUAGCCUGAUAUUGGAUUCUGGUAAUGGAUGUACAGGAUAGGUGGGAGGCUAGGAAGUCAGGGCGUCAGCCUUGGCGGAGCCGGUGUUGGGAUACCACUCUUUCAUUAUUGGAAUUCUAACCCGCGACCGUAGAGCCGGAGCGGAGACAGUGUCAGGUGGGCAGUUUGACUGGGGCGGUCGCCUCCGAAAGAGUAACGGAGGCGCCCAAAGGUUUCCUCAGAAUGGUUGGGAAUCAUUCAAAGAGUGCAAAGGCAGAAGGGAGCCUGACUGCGAGAGAGACAUUUCGAGCAGAUACGAAAGU
rnacentral:rRNA from 1 species